UCAAGGGUCGGGCGAGGCGGAGAUCCUCCCUUGGAGGGUCGGGCACGUCCGAUCCCAAACCCCAGGGGUCGGGCGAGGCGGAGAUCCUCCCUUGGAGGGUCGGGCGCGUCCGAUCCCAAGCCUUAGGGGUCGGGCAAGGCGGAGAUCUCCCUUGGAGGGUCGGGCGCGUCCGAUCCCAAACCUUAGGGGUCGGGCGAGGCGGAACUCCAAGGAUCAAUCGGCCGAUCCUCGACUAUAGCAUCAAUUGGCCGAUUUCCAAUCAUCGCCCUUGUAUCUCGCCGCAUCUUCCAAUCUCUUCUUCUCCUAACGCCGAUUUUACUCGUGUCAAAAUCUGGCGUCAACACAUGCCCCCCAGUUUCGGAGUAAAACAUAGUAUUUACUUCGAAAUUCUUUUCAACUUCCCAU
rnacentral:lncRNA from 1 species